GACGAACGCUGGCGGCGUGCUUAACACAUGCAAGUCGAACGGUAAGGCCCUUCGGGGUACACGAGUGGCGAACGGGUGAGUAACACGUGGGUGAUCUGCCCUGCACUUCGGGAUAAGCCUGGGAAACUGGGUCUAAUACCGGAUAGGACCACUGCCUGCAUGGGUGGUGGUGGAAAGCUUUUGCGGUGUGGGAUGGGCCCGCGGCCUACCAGCUUGUUGGUGGGGUGAUGGCCUACCAGGGCGACGACGGGUAGCCGGCCUGAGAGGGUGACCGGCCACACUGGGACUGAGAUACGGCCCAGACCCCUACGGGAGGCAGCAGUGGGGAAUAUUGCACAAUGGGCGCAAGCCUGAUGCAGCGACGCCGCGUGAGGGAUGACGGCCUUCGGGUUGUAAACCUCUUUCAGCACCGACGAAGCGCAAGUGACGGUAGGUGCAGAAGAAGGACCGGCCAACUACGUGCCAGCCGCCGCGGUAA
rnacentral:rRNA from 1 species